rnacentral:rRNA from 1 species
CAGCCGCCGCGGUAAUACGUAGGUGGCAAGCGUUGUCCGGAAUCAUUGGGCGUAAAGCGCGCGCAGGCGGUUUCUUAAGUCUGAUGUGAAAGCCCCCGGCUUAACCGGGGAGGGUCGUUGGAAACUGGAAGACUUAGAGUACAGAAGAGGAGAGUGGAAUUCCAUGUGUAGCGGUGAAAUGCGUAGAUAUAUGGAGGAACACCAGUGGCGAAGGCGACUCUCUGGUCUGUAACUGACGCUGAGGCGCGAAAGCGUGGGGAGCAAACAGGAUUAGAUACCCCUGUAGUCCCUGUCUCUUAUC